rnacentral:rRNA from 1 species
GAUGAACGCUGGCGGCGUGCCUAAUACAUGCAAGUCGAGCGAUUGGAUUAAGAGCUUGCUCUUAUGAAGUUAGCGGCGGACGGGUGAGUAACACGUGGGUAACCUGCCCAUAAGACUGGGAUAACUCCGGGAAACCGGGGCUAAUACCGGAUAACAUUUUGAACCGCAUGGUUCGAAAUUGAAAGGCGGCUUCGGCUGUCACUUAUGGAUGGACCCGCGUCGCAUUAGCUAGUUGGUGAGGUAACGGCUCACCAUGGCAAUGAUGCGUCGCCGACCUGAGAGGGUGAUCGGCCACACUGGGACUGAGACACGGCCCAGACUCCUACGGGAGGCAGCAGUAGGGAAUCUUCCGCAAUGGACGAAAGUCUGACGGAGCAACGCCGCGUGAGUGAUGAAGGCUUUCGGGUCGUAAAACUCUGUUGUGAGGGAAGAACAAGUGCUAGUUGAAUAAGCUGGCACCUUGACGGUACCUAACCAGAAAGCCACGGCUAACUACGUGCCAGCAGCCGCGGUAA